rnacentral:rRNA from 1 species
GACGAACGCUGGCGGCGUGCUUAACACAUGCAAGUCGAACGAAGUGGCGAACGGGAGAGUAACGCGUAAUAAACAUGCCCUUCAGAGGGGGACAACAGGUGGAAACGACUGCUAAUAGAGCAUACUGGAGCGGGGGAUUGCUUCUGAUUAGCGAUAUGGAGGGGUAACGGACCACCAAGGCGAUGAUCAGUAGCCGGUCUGAGAGGAUGAACGGCCACAUUGGGACUGGGACACGGCCCAGACUCCUACGGGAGGCAGCAGUGGGGAAUCUUCCGCAAUGGACGAAAGUCUGACGGAGCAACGCCGCGUGAGUGAUGACGGCCUUCGGGUUGUAAAGCUCUGUUAAUCGGGACGCGGUACCGGAAUAGAAAGCCACGGCUAACUACGUGCCAGCAGCCGCGGUAAUAC